CAGGCCUUAAUGUUUUAGAGGUCCCAGGAGUGGAGUGUGUUUCCGGGGGGCGGUGGCCGGGGCUGGGGCUGGGGUAAUGGGGCCCUUAUGGCCGGGUCCCGGUGGGUGGUGCUGGCAGCAUCAUGACCUCCCCUCCCCUCCCCCAUGGAGGGGGAUGCGGCUUCCUGGUGGGAGUGUGUAAGGGGACCCGAUGGGAUUGAGGCGCAGGUGUGCGGAUGCAAGACCAUCUGAAAGGACCACAUCAGUGGUUGAUAAAUCAGAGCUGGGGAGGUGUGGACCUGACUGGAGCUGCAGCAGUGAAUAAUGGGAGAUGAGGAAGAUCGUUUUAAUGGUGGUCAGAAACCAGAAGACUUUAAAACUACAUUAAAGCAGAAUGAAGUGUUCUAUCAUCAGAAGCAGAG